CAAUAGCGUAUACUAAUGUUGUUGCAGUUAAAAAGCUCGUAGUUGAACUUCUGGUAGGAGUGUCCCGGCCUUUUUGUUUUUACAAAUUGUAUGCUGUGUGACAUCUCUGGCCAUCCUUCUUCUUUGUUUAAAGAAGAUCUUUCACUGUAAAAAAAUUAGGGUGUUCAAAGCAAAAGUUUCUUUGGAAUAUAUUAGUAUGGGAUGAUAAGAUAGGCUCUAGAUGCUAUUUUGUUGGUUUGCACAUUUAGAGAAUGAUUAACAGGGACAGUUGGGGGUAUUCGUAUUUACAUGUCAGAGGUGAAAUUCUUGGAUUUUGGAGAGACGAACUACUGCGAAAGCAUUUACCAAGGAUGUUUUCAUUAA
rnacentral:rRNA from 1 species